CCGGACAUAACGAGACGAGGCUAGGCGCUCGGAGAGAGCGAGGCGCCGAGACCAGUUUGCAAAGCAGGCAGGCAGAAACGGCCUCGUCUGGAUAACGGGAACAAAUAACAUCCGCCUUUCCUCCCGCCCCUGCAGCUGAAGAUUCUCAACUAUUCUAACCCUUAGGUUCCGUUCUAUCAUCUUAACUAGCUCCCGUAAUUUCAGCCCCCAGGAUCCUGCAAACAUCCUGACGUCUGCUAACUGGACAUAGGGAUAUAGAAAAGUCCGAAACGUUUUGCUACUAUCCGGAUUUUUGCAGCCCAGUGCGGUAGCUCUUUCUUUGCAGCUGCCAACAGCGAAGAGGGAGUAGCCACGCAUCAAAUCUGGAGGUCGCCCCGUUGGACAACUCUAGAGUUUCUCC